rnacentral:rRNA from 1 species
CACGCAGGCGGUUCCGUUAGUCGGACGUGAAAGCUCCUGGCUUAACUGGGAGAGGCCGUUCGAUACUGCGGGACUUGAGGUUGGAAGAGGGGUGUGGAAUUCCCGGUGUAGUGGUGGAAUGCGUAGAUAUCGGGAGGAACACCUGUGGCGAAAGCGGCACCCUGGUCCACACCUGACGUUGAGGUGCGAAAGCGUGGGUAGCAAACA